rnacentral:lncRNA from 1 species
CUCAUGCGUCUCCUUUUUACUUGGCUCCCCACCAUACCCUGACCAAAGUGGAAAUGAAAAUGGGAAGAAUGGUGGGAAAUAAGCAGGGUACAUAACUGGGUAGAAAGACUGUGAGCUAUCUGGCUUUGGAUUUGGAGGAACAGCUUCUGCCUCAUUGGAGUUGUUAGAAUCCAUUGAUUCACAUUCUUCAUCCAAAGGAGGAGGAGCGGGUAAAGGAUCAGGACUAUCAGUUUGUGUUUCAACCUGGAGAUCGUUGACAGUCAAGAACUCUUGUGAAGCCAUUGGAGUGUCGGCUGGCUGCAA